rnacentral:ncRNA from 2 species
GAGUUGUAGCAUCUCCGAGUCUCGUCACCUAAGGGUUAGAACAAAUCUAUGGGGCGAGACCGGUAGGGUAUGGCUGGAAACGGCCUUGCCUCCCGUAUUUGGAAAGGGGAUGCGCCACGUAACGC